GACGAACGCUGGCGGCGGGCUUAACACAUGCAAGUCGAACGGAAAGGCCCUGCUUUUGUGGGGUGCUCGAGUGGCGAACGGGUGAGUAACACGUGAGUAACCUGCCCUUGACUUUGGGAUAACUUCAGGAAACUGGGGCUAAUACCGGAUAGGAGCUCCUGCUGCAUGGUGGGGGUUGGAAAGUUUCGGCGGGUGGGGAUGGACUCGCGGCUUAUCAGCUUGUUGGUGGGGUAGUGGCUUACCAAGGCUUUGACGGGUAGCCGGCCUGAGAGGGUGACCGGCCACAUUGGGCCUGAGAUACGGCCCAGACUCCUACGGGAGGCAGCAGUGGGGAAUAUUGCACAAUGGGAGGAAGCCUGAUGCAGCAACGCCGCGUGCGGGAUGACGGCCUUCGGGUUGUAAACCGCUUUCGCCUGUGACGACGCGUGAGUGACGGUAAUGGGUAAAGAAGCACCGGCUAACUACGUG
rnacentral:rRNA from 1 species